GCCUGGGUGGCUCAGUCGGUUAAGCGUCUGACUUCAGCUCAGGUCAUGAUCUUGCAGUCCGUGAGUUCGAGCCCCGCGUCGGGCU
rnacentral:tRNA from 1 species